UGGCUUUCGUGCAGUCUGGCUGUCAUGCCACAAGCAGAAUAUUUCCUCCAGCCACCUGUCUCUACGAAGUCAGUGGCUGCCGUCACACUGCGUGGACCGGCUGCAGCUGGUGUGUGAAGGUCUCUCAUGAUGUGGCCCGCGCCCCCCACCCCCCCCAGGUGGCGGCGCGUGGAGGGUCCUGGUGGAGCGACUCGCCUGGCCAUGCCUUGCCGUCAGAUUGACUGGAUGGACAGCCUGAUCCGCUGGGAUCACAGGCUGCAGUUCGCUUCCCCCCAUUCCCUCCUUCGCCGGGAUUGUGGAGACUGUGCUUUCCUCCUCGGCUCAGAACGCCGCCCUCUGGGCGGAGCUUCAGGAAUAAUGGGUUCUACUCCCGCUACUUCCUGGUCAGGAAGAAGACAGGUGGUGAGAGGCCCAUCCUGGACCUGUCACUGUUCAACAGGGCGAUUAUGGUGAGACCUCUUCGCAUGUUAACAGUGAAACGGGUGAUGGAGUGUGUGCGCCAGGGAGACUGGCUCACCUCCAUCGACCUGAAGGACGUGUACUUUCACGUGUCCGUCAUUCCUGGACACAGGAAGUUUCUGCGGUUUUCAUUCCAGGGCGCCCAGUACCAAUACAACCGCCUGCCCUUCGGUAGAGACGGCCCUGUAGCCGCUGCGGCGGUCGGGCAUCAGGGUCCUGUUUUAUCUGGACGCCCUGCUGCUGCUGGUGCCGCCCCGGGACGAAGCGGUGGUGCAGAUGGCCCAGCUAGCCGCACACCUGUCUUACCUGGGCUUCACGGUGAACUUCCAGAUAGCAGAGGACUGUGGUGCGGAUCCGCCUUCAAGCCGGGACAUCUGCCGUACGCUCUCCCCCGUUUUGACCACGCGCACCGGAUCCGGUCCGCCUCCAGACGGCGCACUGUCAAACAGCGGACUAACAGCGGACACUGGGCGGAUUCGCCUGUGAGAGGAGUGAUUUUAACAUCAGUUAACUGCAGUGCAUACAGCUCAUUCACAAGUGGCGCCAGUCUGAUUUGGGGACUGCCUGCUUCUCACCCUUUCCUGCCACAGGUGUAAAAUUUUCUUCCUGGAAGCCAGAGGGGCCACAACAGAAAAUGUUCCACGUGGUACAUCCUUGCCCACAUGUUCCAUGAUGAUGUUGGGAAGAGGAUAAAUUGGAAAGGGAUCACUAUGCAACACUCUAUGCCAGAUGGCAUUGGAGAUGUUGCUCCUGUAUGCUGUGAGAAAGAGUCAUCUCUCCUGUGCUGCCACAGAUGAUAUCCUAAAGCAGAAAAUAUGGUAUUUCAACCUGGCAGCAGAGAGGGGAAGAAGCUCAAGAACACCAUCAAGAAUUGGACAGGGAGUACUGUCACGCAACGGCCCAUAACAGGAGAGUGACUCAACUCUAAGACUCAUAUGAUCAUCACAGUCAAAAGAAAUAUAAUGUGAUCGCCAAACAUCUUUUGAAUAAGUGUAAAUAUAAAAAAUAUUAAAUGUCUCUUAUAGUAACUACA